GGUCCAAAUUUGAAGUAGGGUAGAUUAGUAGGAUCAGCUAACCAUACUAAUCUACUACUUCAAGUUUGUACCC
rfam:Haemonchus placei strain MHpl1 genome assembly, scaffold: HPLM_scaffold0003236